GGAGGCCAUGGCAUGUUGUAACAUCGGUUCUCAUCCGAUCACCAAAGUUAAGCAAAGUGAAUCCUGGUCAGUACUUAGGUAUGUGAUAGCUUGGGAAUACCAGGGACUGUAUG